UACGUAGGCAGCGAGCGUUGUUCGGAGUUACUGGGCGGAAAGGGUGUGUAGGCGGUUUUCUAAGUUUGGUGUGAAAUCUCCCGGCUUAACCGGGAGGGUGCGCCGAAAACUGGGAGACUAGAGUGCGGGAUGGGAGAGUAGAAUUCCUGGUGUAGCGGUGAAAUGCGUAGAUAUCAGGAGGAAUACCGGUGGUGUAGACGGCUCUCUGGGCCGUAACUGACGCUGAGGAGCGAAAGCAUGGGGAGCGAACAGG
rnacentral:rRNA from 1 species